GGUGGUUUAUUCGGUCAUCACAGAAGGGCAAUGUUUCAACACUAAGUGUCUUUUUUCAGCCAUUUCUCUAGGAAGACACUUGCGAUGUUGCACUUCUGUGAUGAUCGAAUAAACCACCAUUAAACCACUUAUUCUGCCGAGUGCUGAGGUUUGCUAUGAUACAAGGUGGGGCACUUAGCUCAGAAAUUGCUCAUGAAAUUCCUUAGCAAAUCUUGUGUUAAGAGUGAAUUAAAUAAAUUACAUUAUCUGCAGGAUGUUUAUAC